AUUUGUCUACUUUUGAAUAAAGACGCUAGUGGUCUCGUUUCUUUUCUUUAAUAAAGCCAAGAUUCAAGCAAGCUGGUGCGCACUUGGUUUCAUAUAAGUUGACACAGGUGGUCACACCAAAUGCAAUCAAUGCUCUCAUACCAUUGACUAGGUUUUCUUUCGUUGACUUGAGAGUUAAGUUGAUGUCUUACUCUUCAUCGUCCUCGAAAUUAAAACCCCAAUGGAGAUACGAUGUGUUCAUCAAUUUCAGGGGGGAAGAUACUCGUAAGAAUUUUGUUUCUCAUCUCUAUUCUGCCCUUGCAAACGCAGGAGUAAACACUUUCCUGGACGAUGAGAAGCUUCCCAAGGGACAAGAGCUGAAAUCAGAACUGUUCGACGCAAUAGAAGGGUCUCAAAUAUCAAUCGUUGUUUUCUCCCAAAAGUAUAUUCAAUCUAGCUGGUGUCUUGAUGAACUGCACAAGAUCAUGGAAUGUCAUGCAUUCAGAGGCCAAGUGGUUUUGCCCGUAUUUUACGAUGUUGUCCCUUCAUUUUUACGUAAAGUGCAAGACGUUUCUUUUGGAGUCUUUUGUGCAAAUAGUGACCUCCACCGGAUAGAACCAUGGAAGAAAGCACUAGCCCGAGCGGCAACUUUGGUUGGUUGGGAUGUGAGAAAUUACGGAAAUGAAAACGAUGUCGUGAAGGAAAUUAUUUCUGCAGUUUUGAAAAGAAUAGACAGAACAUAUUUGUCUAUCACUGACUUCCCAGUCGGAUUAGAAUCUCGUGUGCAACGUAUUGUUGGCUUUGUAAGAAACCAAACAAAAGGAACAUGUAUGUUAGGGAUUUGGGGAAUGGGAGGGAUUGGUAAAACAACCAUAGCCAAAGCCAUUUACAAUGAAAUUCGUCAGGAGUUCGAAUAUCAAAGUUUCCUUGCAAAUAUUAGAGAAGUUUGGGGAAGAGAUCGGGGCCAGAUUGAAUUACAAAAGCAACUUCUUUCAGAUGUCCUUAAAACAGAGAAGCUGAAGGUGCAUAGCAUUGACUGGGGAAAAGGUAUGAUCAAGGAAAGGCUUUGCACAAAAAGAGUACUUGUUGUACUUGAUGACGUGAAUAAGUUUGAACAGUUAAAUGCACUAUGUGGAAAUCGUGAUUGGAUUGGUCGAGGAAGUGUGAUAAUCAUUACAACCAGAGACAAACGUCUACUCCUUGAAGUUGACCAUGUACAACAAGUGGAUGAAAUGAAUGAGAGUGAGUCCCUUGAGCUUUUCAGUUGGCAUGCUUUUAGGGAAGCAAAACCAACAAAAGGCUUCCUAGAACUCUCAAAACAAGUAGUCAAAUACUGUGGAGGAUUACCACUGGCUCUUGAAGUUCUUGGAUCUUACUUGUACAAGAGAAGAAAAGAAGAGUGGCAAAGUGUAUUAUCAAAACUAAAAGAAAUACCCAAUGGCGAAAUACAAGAGAAAUUGAAAAUAAGCUAUGACGGUUUAACGGAUGAUACGGAGAAGGAUAUAUUUCUUGACAUAUGCUGCUUCUUUAUUGGCAAGGACAGAGCCUAUGUCACAGAGAUACUAAAUGGCUGUGGACUUCAUGCUGAUAUUGGAAUAACAGUCCUGGUAGAAAGGAGCCUAAUCACGGUUGAAAAGAAUAAUAAACUCGAAAUUCAUGAUUUGCUACGUGACAUGGGGAGAGAAAUUGUUCGUCAAAGUUCACCAAAACCACAGAAGCGCAGUCGAUUGUGGGUUCAUGAUGAUGUUCUUGAGACAUUGACAGAAGAUACUGGAACAGAAGCCAUUGAGGGAUUGGCUUUGAAGUUGCAAAGAACUACCAGAGUUCGCUUCAGUACUGAAACAUUUGAGAAAAUGAAGAGACUGAGACUUUUGCAACUUGAUCAUGUACAACUUGCUGGAGAUUAUCGGCAUCUUCCCAAACAUCUGAGAUGGGUCUAUUGGCAAGGAUUUUCAUUAACAUACAUACCUGACAACUUUGAUCAGGGAGAUGUAGUUGCUAUUGACUUAAAACACAGUUAUCUUAAACUAGUAUGGAAGGAGCCCCAGUUGCUGGAAAGGCUAAAAUUCCUCAAUCUUAGUCAUUCCAAGUACUUAUCAAAGACCCCUGAUUUUUCAAAAUUACCAAAUCUUGAGAGCCUCAUUCUCAAAGAUUGUCCAAGCUUGUAUGAGGUACACAAUUCCAUUGGAGAUCUAGGUAAUCUUCUUCUGUUAAAUUUGAAGGAUUGUACUUGCCUUCGGAAUCUCCCAAUGAUAUUUUAUAAGUUGAAGUCUUUAAAAACACUCAUCCUUUCUGGGUGUUUGAAGAUUGACAAGUUAGAAGAAGACAUAGUGCAGAUGGAGUCCUUAACAACUCUAAUCGCAGACAAUACUGGUCUAAAACAAGUGCCCUUUUCUAUAGUAAGAUCCAAAAGGAUUGGAUAUAUAUCCCUUUGUGGAUAUGAAGGAUUGGCACGUGAUGUAUUUCCUUCUCUCGUAUGGUCUUGGAUGUCACCAACAAGAGGUCUUGUAUCCUGUAUUCAAUCAUUUGGGAGCACGUUGACAUCUGUAGUCUCUGUGGAUAUACAGGAUAAAAAUUUGGGUAACCUAUUAUCAAAGCUUAGUGAAUUUUCAAAACUUAAAAGUAUUAGCGUACAAUGUGACUCAGAUUUUCAACUAACUCAAGAAUUAAGAAUAAUUUUGGACAACUUGUGCAAUGUAAAUUUUUCUGACAAUGAAACAACGCCCGCAUCACAAGUUUCAGAAAAUUCUACUGUAUCUCAUUUGAUUGGAAUUGGAAGUUACCACCAACACAUCAAUAUGCUUAGCAAGACUAUAUCAGAGAUUUGAGAGUCAUAAUCCUAGUGAAGAUGGUUGUAGACACUUUGCUUUUCGGGUUUUUCUUUCCUUGUGAUUCUUGAUCUAGGCCAUUGUGGGAUUGUCCGGUAGCAAAAGGAUUUCAUAAUCUUCUUCUACAGCUUCCCAAAGAUUCAUCACUUCUAGGUAAGUUUCCAUUUUUACAGCCCAAAGAUUAUAGUUUUCCCCAUUAAAAACUGGAAGUGCUACAUGAGAAAAGCUUGUUUCAGAAUCCAUUCUAGGUCCCGUAAGGAAAUGGACUCUAGAUACCAGAUGUUAUAAAUUUUCAAGAGAAUAGAAAUAUAGAAUCUGCUGAACGAAGAGCAAAAACUUAUAUUCAAUGAGAAAGAUAGAGCUUACAAUCUUCAAACCAGAAAGAUUACAAUUUAUAAAGCUUAAACAGUAACUACCCACUAACAAUAUGGUCCUAGAAAUAAGCCACGAACAGAACAGAGAUAAUAAAAAAUUCCUAAAACAUUCUAAUUGACUCCGUAAAACUAGGAUAGCAACUACAAAUAAAAUAACAUAAUCAGAAUGUGGUUUCAGUCCUGAUUCCUGAAGCAUUUUCCUAACAAUAUUCAAUACUUAAGUGUUAUCUUGAACAAAUCUUGGUUAGAGAUUAUCAAACUUUUAUAUAAGUGGGGAUCAUAAAGAGCACAUGAAAAGUGAAAAGUGUAAAAUGUGUAUAAUAGUGCGUGAACCAACUUUGGAAAAUGGUUUUCAUCUCAAUACAAGUUGAAGGACAUCCAUGACAUGUCAGUUCACAUUUUGUUAAGAGUUUAACAACAACUACAGAGGUACUGGAAACCCGUAGUUCCAGUGAUUUUCUCCUUCCAGGAGACAAUUAUCCUUAUUGGUUAGCCUAUACAGGGAAAGGAUACUCGGUACCUUUUCAAGUGCCUGAUGAUGG